rnacentral:lncRNA from 1 species
AGUAUAAAGAUAUGUAGAAAUACUUAGCGAGAUAAAUGGGAGUGCUCUCCCCCAAGCUGAAUUUUGACGUAAUUUCUCUUGAUGUAGCUAGCAGGUGGCAGAGGUGUAUUUGAAAGUCAGCAGCAUUCUGACAGCGAUUAGAAUGUCCUCCGUUUGCUAGUCUUCUUGAUUCUUAAAUUCUGUGGAGCUCAAAUAGACAACAAAGCUUGUGGAACUAUUUAAGUGUUAGCAUAAACAUCUAGCCUUCAUCAUGUUGAGCUUCCUCAAUAAAUAUUACUCCCUGUUUUAUAUUUUAUUUUAUAAAGCAGAAAAGAAAUAUUUAUUUUAUUUUUAUGCCACCAUAGUGAAGGUACUUAUGGGUUUUAUGCCACUCGUUUGCUCACAUGGGGCUUAGUAUUUUUUUAACAUUUUUAUUUUCUUUUUAAGAUAGCAUGAUUAACUAAUAAUCUAUUUAAGGAAAGUGAAUAAUUAAAGGGAAUAGGGAAUGCAGAAAGGAUAAAUAUGGAUAACUACUGAUCUUACCUUUCGGCGAGGGUUCAAUAUUUUAAGUCUUCUUAACAAGACUUCUCACCGUGUUCAUUCUUCAGGUGCGCCAUUUGAUUCAGGUGCGGACCUUGACGUCUGCACCUCUUGAUACGGUGUCACCCAUGUUCUUCGUUUGCCCAGCAGUUCGAAGUGCGGCGUUGGCAGUAACCUGCUCAGUGUGUUUGUGCUCGUAGAUCCAGGUCCUUCACUUGGUAGAGUCUGAGAGUUAUAAAACUCCUCCGUGUUUUGCUCAGAGUAUACCUUGCUUGAAGAGUGAUGGUACAAUAUCACCUUGUGGAAGCUUUUCUUUCUUAGCGGUUGUGCUUCGUGUUUGUGGCACCCUCCAUGGAUCAUCUCUCUAUGAUGAAUGAGCUAUGUCCUUCUUGUGCAAAUUGUUAAACUUCAUGUGUCACUCUCUUCGUCUCUGAUGUGAGUUUAUCUCAGGACUUCCCAAAUCGAUAUUGAAAGUUUUUGUGCAGGGGUUAGUCCGACAAAAAUAUACCAAUGUCUGUCAAGCAGUUUUUAGUUCAAUAACCGAACUAGACUCCAUGUCUAAUCAGAUUAAGGAAGGCUGUUUAACCUAAGUACCAUGCUUAAUUUAAAAGCCAAUAGAAGUAUGUGCAGUACUUCCAAACUAACACUUACUAGUAAAUAGACAAAGGUAGCAUGACAACAUUUAUAGAGAUCUACUCAAGUGGAGAUGAAGUAGUGUGAUUAGUAUUUAACAAAUUGAACAUGUCUUAAAGGUAGGGACAACCA